UACGUAGGGGGCAAGCGUUGUCCGGAAUCAUUGGGCGUAAAGAGCGCGUAGGCGGCCCUGUAAGUCCGCUGUGAAAGUCAAGGGCUCAACCCUUGAAUGCCGGUGGAUACUGCAGGGCUAGAGUCCGGAAGAGGCGAGUGGAAUUCCUGGUGUAGCGGUGAAAUGCGCAGAUAUCGGGAGGAACACCAGUGGCGAAGGCGGUUGCCUGGAGCUUUGCUGACGCUGAUGCGCGAAAGCGUGGGGAGCGAUCCGG
rnacentral:rRNA from 1 species